rnacentral:rRNA from 1 species
GACGAACGCUGGCGGCGUGCUUAACACAUGCAAGUCGAACGGAAAGGCCCUGCUUUUGUGGGGUGCUCGAGUGGCGAACGGGUGAGUAACACGUGAGUAACCUGCCCUUGACUUUGGGAUAACUUCAGGAAACUGGGGCUAAUACCGGAUAGGAGCUCCUGCUGCAUGGUGGGGGUUGGAAAGUUUCGGCGGUUGGGGAUGGACUCGCGGCUUAUCAGCUUGUUGGUGGGGUAGUGGCUUACCAAGGCUUUGACGGGUAGCCGGCCUGAGAGGGUGAACGGCCACAUUGGGACUGAGAUACGGACCAGACUCCUACGGGAGGCAGCAGUGGGGAAUAUUGCACAAUGGGAGGAAGCCUGAUGCAGCAACGCCGCGUGCGGGAUGACGGCCUUCGGGUUGUAAACCGCUUUCGCCUGUGACGAAGCGUGAGUGACGGUAAUGGGUAAAGAAGCACCGGCUAACUACGUG